UCUUCUUAUGACUCUCUCUCUCUCUCUCUCUUGACGGCGAGCAGCGGCAGACGACGGCAAGCAGCUGCAGACGACGGCAAGCAGCUGCAGACGACGGCGAGCAACGUGCGACGGCGGCUAGCCAGCGACGACGGUGCGGCGUGUCUCUCUUCAACUCUCUCAGUCAGUCUCAAUCUCUGAACCAGGGCUGUUUAUGAGGAACUCGGGAAAUAUGAGGACCUAGAGAAUCAGGUUUUGUACCGUGAGCGUGUUGAGGAACUAGAACCAAGUAUACGGUACUGUCUACACAAACUUGGUGAGUCAAAUUUACAAACUUCUGAACUCAUGCACAUUAGUGAAAUGGAAGGACCUGCACUCGAUCUUUUCAAAGCUAAACUAGAGGCUGUUAUGGCUGAGGCAAGAUCUCAGCAGGCUGCAUCUAUGACAGAAUUUCAUUGGCUUGGUCAUAAAUUUCCAAUUUCUAAUGCGAAGACACGUGUUUCCAUAUUGAAAGGUUCGUAAUCAAUCUCCAUUUAUAAUGAUACAAAUGGUCAGUAUGGUCCGACAAUCAACGGACUUGGAAAGUGUGUGCAAGUGUGUCUCUUAACUUUGUCAUUUAUCCUGCAUAAACAUAAUGGUCAAGAGUUUGCAGUUGUCAUUAUUUGAUGGCCUGUUGAUACGUGAAUCAGUGACUGUAACCCUCACACCCUUUGCUUUCCCAUUCCACAAUGUGCAACAUAAUUUUGCUUGCUUGAGUUCUACACUUAAUAUUUUAGUAAUUAUAAGUUGUGAAUACAUGAACUACAUGGGGAUGUUAACUGCAAUACUCUUAGGAAAUAUCAUAACUUGUUUGUUAUCCAUUGAAAAAUACAAAGUUGGUGUCAAGCCCAAACUAGUUCCUGAAAACAAAAA